UUUAGAACGUCGUGSGACAGUGCGGUCCCUAUCUGCMGUGGGCGCUGGAGAACUGAGGGGGGCUGCUCCUAGUACGAGAGGACCGGAGUGGACGCAUCACUGGUGUUCGGGUUGUCAUGCCAAUGGCACUGCCCGGUAGCUAAAUGCGGAAGAGAUAAGUGCUGAAAGCAUCUAAGCACGAAACUUGCCCCGAGAUGAGUUCUCCCUGACUCCUUGAGAGUCCUGAAGGAACGUUGAAGACGACGACGUUGAUAGGCCGGGUGUGUAAGCGCAGCGAUGCGUUGAGCUAACCGGUACUAAUGAACCGUGAGGCUUAACCUUACAACGCCGAAG
rnacentral:rRNA from 1 species